CAGUAGCCGCGGUAAUACGUAGGGUGCAAGCGUUGUCCGGAAUUAUUGGGCGUAAAGAGCUCGUAGGCGGUUUGUCGCGUCUGCUGUGAAAUCCCGAGGCUCAACCUCGGGCUUGCAGUGGGUACGGGCAGACUAGAGUGCGGUAGGGGAGAUUGGAAUUCCUGGUGUAGCGGUGGAAUGCGCAGAUAUCAGGAGGAACACCGAUGGCGAAGGCAGAUCUCUGGGCCGUAACUGACGCUGAGGAGCGAAAGCGUGGGGAGCGAACAGGAUUAGAUACCCCAGUAGUCCCUGUCUCUUAUAU
rnacentral:rRNA from 1 species